UAGUCCACGCCGUAAACGAUGAUAACUCGUUGGUGGCGAUAUACAGUCACUGACCAAGCGAAAGUAUUAAGUUAUCCACCUGGGGAGUACGCCGGCAACGGUGAAACUCAAAGGAAUUGACGGGGGCCCGCACAAGCGGUGGAGCAUGUGGUUUAAUUCGAUGAUACGCGAGGAACCUUACCUGGGCUUAAAUGUAUAAUGACCGAUCUGGAAACAGAUCUUCCCUUCGGGGCAGAAUACAAGGUGCUGCAUGGCUGUCGUCAGCUCGUGCUGUGAGGUGUCGGGUUAAGUCCCAUAACGAGCGCAACCCCUAUCUUUAGUUGCUAGCAGGUCAAGCUGAGGACUCUAAAGAGACUGCCGGUGCAAACCGUGAGGAAGGUGGGGAUGACGUCAAGUCAGCACGGCCCUUACGUCCAGGGCCACACACGUGCUACAAUGGCAGACACAAAGGGCAGCUACAUGGUGACAUGAUGCUAAUCUCUAAAGUCUGU
rnacentral:rRNA from 1 species